GUCUCGCAGCCAGCUCUGAGCGGGAGGCCUGAGCGGGAAGCAUUGGCGUCCGAGCGACUUCUAGGAGCCUGGGGUUCGGCGCUAUGGAGGAGCUCGAUGGCGAGCCAACAGUCACUUUGAUUCCAGGCGUGAAUUCCAAGAAGAACCAAAUGUAUUUUGACUGGGGUCCAGGGGAGAUGCUGGUAUGUGAAACCUCCUUCAACAAAAAAGAAAAAUCAGAGAUGGUGCCAAGUUGCCCCUUUAUCUAUAUCAUCCGUAAGGAUGUAGAUGUUUACUCUCAAAUCUUGAGAAAACUCUUCAAUGAAUCCCAUGGAAUCUUUCUGGGCCUCCAGAGAAUUGACGAAGAGUUGACUGGAAAAUCCAGAAAAUCUCAAUUGGUUCGAGUGAGUAAAAACUACCGAUCAGUCAUCAGAGCAUGUAUGGAGGAAAUGCACCAGGUUGCAAUUGCUGCUAAAGAUCCAGCCAAUGGCCGCCAGUUCAGCAGCCAGGUCUCCAUUUUGUCAGCAAUGGAGCUCAUCUGGAACCUGUGUGAGAUUCUUUUUAUUGAAGUGGCCCCAGCUGGCCCUCUCCUCCUCCAUCUCCUUGACUGGGUCCGGCUCCAUGUGUGCGAGGUGGACAGUUUGUCGGCAGAUGUUCUGGGCAGUGAGAAUCCAAGCAAACAUGACAGCUUCUGGAACUUGGUGACCAUCUUGGUGCUGCAGGGCCGGCUGGAUGAGGCCCGACAGAUGCUCUCCAAGGAAGCCGAUGCCAGCCCCGCCUCUGCAGGCAUAUGCCGAAUCAUGGGGGACCUGAUGAGGACAAUGCCCAUUCUUAGUCCCGGGAACACCCAGACACUGACAGAGCUGGAGCUGAAGUGGCAGCACUGGCACGAGGAAUGUGAGCGGUACCUCCAGGACAGCACAUUCGCCACCAGCCCUCACCUGGAGUCUCUCUUGAAGAUUAUGCUGGGAGACGAAGCUGCCUUGUUAGAGCAGAAGGAACUUCUGAGUAAUUGGUAUCAUUUCCUAGUGACUCGGCUCUUGUACUCCAAUCCCACAGUAAAACCCAUUGAUCUGCACUACUAUGCCCAGUCCAGCCUGGACCUGUUUCUGGGAGGUGAGAGCAGCCCAGAACCCCUGGACAACAUCUUGUUGGCAGCCUUUGAGUUUGACAUCCAUCAAGUAAUCAAAGAGUGCAGGGAUGUUCAUUUAAAAUAACAUCGCGGGAAACUACUUUGACAUUUAAAAUCUAGAAAAAGCCAGCAAGCCUGUUUCUUGGCACCUAAUGGACACCUUAUGGGAUGGCGUGUUCCAAGAGUCUCACUCCAGUGACGUGAGCUACCGAACCACUGGGCUUCAGGCUGGGUAUUAUUCAGAAUUUCCAGCCCUCUAUCCAAAAGAGGGUGUUCUAUGAUUGCACUGAAUCUUUAGCAAGGCAGGAAAGGGAGUGCCAAACAUAAUCAAUCAAAGGUAAACCUUUCCAGAACUCUCCAUAUAUGGUAAGUCAGAAAGAAGGUCCCCUUCCUUGUUGUGCACCCUGGAUGGUGGGCAUUGCACUGAAGACGUGCUGGGAAGGGAGGAAGUGGGUAAUGGCAGAAGAUGGCCUUGAUCAGGUGUCAGAUUCACUGACCUCAACUGGCUGUUUGUAGAUCUGGGCAUGGGAAGAGUUUCCUUCGCCCUACCUGCUUUUCUUGUUUUGGCCAAAAGAAUGCCAGGGCUUCAAGAAAAUGAUACUAGAUUUGGGGAAUGAAAAACAAGUUUUUUGUGUGUUUGUUUCUGGGUUUUUUUUUUUUUUUUUUUUUUUUUUGAGACAGAGUUUUGCUCUUGUCACCCAGACUGGAGUGCAGUGGCGUGAUCUUGGCUCACUGCAACCUCCACCUACUGGGUUCCAGCAAUUCUACUGCCUCAGUCUCCCAAGUAGCUGGGAUUACAGGUGUCCGUCACCACGCCCAGCAAAUUUUUGUGUUUUUCAAUAGAGACAGGGUUUCACCAUGUUGCCUAGGCAGGCUGGUCUGGAACUCCUGACCUCAGGUCAUCUGCCCAUCUCGGCCUCCCAAAGUGCUGGGAUUACAGGCGUGAGCCACCGCGCCCUGCCAAGUUUUUUUUUUUUGAAACAGGGUCUCACUUUGUCACCCGGGCUGGAGUGCAGUGGAGUGAUCUCAGCUCACUGCAGCCUUGACCUCCUGGGUUCAAGUGAUCCUCUUGCCUCAGCCUUCCAGGUAGCUAGGACUACAAGUGUGCGCCACCAUGCCUGGCUAAUUAUUAUUUUUUUUUUUGGAGAGAUGAGGUUUCACUAUGUUGCCCAAGCUGUUCUUGAACUUGUGAGCUCAAGCGAUCUGCCUGUCUUGGCCUCCCACAGUGCUAGGAUUACAGGCGUAAGCCACCAUGCCCGGCCUGAAAGUCAAGUUUUGUGUCAAUAUUUUCACAGGCCUGUAAACAUUGUGAGAAGUCCCUGCAUGGAAGAAUUAGUGAGAAUAACUUAAAAACACACAAACACACCAUCGUUUGGCUUUGUUGGUGUCUCUGCCCAUAGUUGAGUAUUCUAAAUUUCCUGUGUUAUAACAGUGAGUGAGUUUCACCAGGGCUUCCUAAUUUAUAAGCCCUGUAUCUGGAUUUUUAGGAAUAAAACAGAUUUGAGCAGAAGAAGUCUGUUGGAUGCAGGGAGUAUAAAAGGGGAAAGCAUCCUGCUGUUUCCAGUGGCAGAAGAGAAAGAGAAGUACCAUGAAGAGGGGUGAACAACAUCACUCUCGUGCCGGACACAGACAAGGAAUGAUUAGGCUUGCAGUCCCCCAGUCUCAGCCUCUCUCCACUCUCACAAGCAGGAAGGGAUCUGAGCUCUGUUAGUGGGAAAUCUUGGAGUUUGCAUUUCUCUGAUCACGAGGCUACCUCCUAUCCUGUUUUGAAAGAGGAACAGAAAAGCAGAGCUUGUCCCAGGAAUUGUGAAAUGGGCUGCAAUGUCUUCAGAGGCAGUAGCAGUUUUAGGAAGUGUGCCCUCCUGGCUCUGGGGAAAGGUUGAAUUGGGGUCUUGUGGGCACUUGUUUUCUCAUGGGAUGUAUCAGUCAGACCCAUGCACAGUUCUGGGCGGCAGGGAAGUGUGUCUCUUUCUGGACUUGAGCCAGUGAGCUGUUGGCAUGCCUUUUUAAAGGCAUUAGAAAAAAGGUUUCUUUCUUUUUUUUCCUUUCCUGUUCACACCACCUUCAUAUGAACAUGGAGAAGGGAGGUUUCUAAGUGGGCCCCUGAUUUACUCCUAUGUCAAUAAUCGUGCCAGACCCUAAGGGGCAGAAAAGGCAGCCAGGGGAUCCUGACUCAGAGGCUGUAGUUCGUCAGCCCUGCUAAAGGGCCAGGGGUUUGUCUCUCAGUGCCUGGGUGGGCAUGCUUGACUGCUAACCCCUUAGCUGAAAGGAGAUGGCAGGAGUCCUCCACAGGGUCCCUUCUUCCCUCCUGGCUUACAGCUUCCUCUGAAGACGGGCCAGUUCCUUGCUGUCUGGCAAGAGGAAACAGCUGGGGUGCACUUCACUGGGAGUUGGGCAAGAUGUCGGCAGUUUCCUGGUGCCCUUCAAGUCCUCCAAAAGUAUCGAGCUAAAAGCAUCGCCCUGAGCAACUGGUGGUUUGUGGCCCACCUGACAGACCUGCUGGACCACUGCAAGCUCCUCCAGUCACACAACCUCUA